GUAGGUGAACCUGCGGAAGGAUCAUUAACACGUAUCCACGUUAUCAACACAAAUCGGUACUAUGUGUUUUCUGGUGUUCAUUCACCAUCCGGGCAUAAUCGGCAGCAAAUUCACAGCUUCAUACUUCAUACUAAUUAUAUAAGGGUGGUCGCUUCCUGUUGCAACCCUAUGCUCGAACCAUACUUGUCACCCCUCCUUCACUAGUUGUCUUAUUUUUUGUGUUUCGUCUUGGAUGAUUCAGUUCAUCUCGGGUGACUCGCACGUUUUUAAUUGAACGUUAAAAUACAACUCUUAGCAAUGGAUAUCUUGGUUCUC
rnacentral:misc_RNA from 1 species